rnacentral:rRNA from 1 species
AUGAACGCUGGCGGCGUGCCUAAUACAUGCAAGUCGAGCGAACAGACGAGGAGCUUGCUCCUCUGACGUUAGCGGCGGACGGGUGAGUAACACGUGGAUAACCUACCUAUAAGACUGGGAUAACUUCGGGAAACCGGAGCUAAUACCGGAUAAUAUAUUGAACCGCAUGGUUCAAUAGUGAAAGACGGUUUUGCUGUCACUUAUAGAUGGAUCCGCGCCGCAUUAGCUAGUUGGUAAGGUAACGGCUUACCAAGGCAACGAUGCGUAGACGACCUGAGAGGGUGCUCGGCCACACUGGAACUGAGACACGGUCCAGACUCCUACGGGAGGCAGCAGUAGGGAAUCUUCCGCAAUGGGCGAAAGCCUGAUGGAGCAACGCCGCGUGAGUGAUGAAGGUCUUCGGAUCGUAAAACUCUGUUAUUAGGGAAGAACAAAUGUGUAAGUAACUAUGCACGUCUUGACGGUACCUAAUCAGAAAGCCACGGCUAACUACGUG